UGAAGAGAGAGAUCCCAAAAAUCUUUUAAUUUUCUCUUUUGUUUUUUCUCGUCAGUCAAGGAAACGUGUGAGAGAGAGUUUUUUAUUUUCAUGCCAGCUAGCUCAUGAGUGGAGGGAGUACAAUUAUCUUUCUUAAUUUUGAUUGGUUGGAUAGAGUUGACAUAGAUAGAAAAUGAGGAUCGUUGAUUAAUCUUGAUCUAACAAUCAAGAUUAAUUCAAAGAAGCACACCAAGAAGCACAUAUUAUUAAAUAAAUUAAAAUGCUUAUAAUUCCCUUUUU
rnacentral:lncRNA from 1 species